rnacentral:rRNA from 1 species
CUUUCUUUGCUGGCGACCGGCGCACGGGUGAGUAACACGUAUCCAACCUGCCUUUACUCGGGGAUAGCCUUUCGAAAGAAAGAUUAAUACCCGAUAGCAUAAUGAUUCCGCAUGGUUUCAUUAUUAAAGGAUUCCGGUAAAGGAUGGGGAUGCGUUCCAUUAGGUUGUUGGUGAGGUAACGGCCCACCAAGCCUUCGAUGGAUAGGGGUUCUGAGAGGAAGGUCCCCCACAUUGGAACUGAGACACGGUCCAA